GAUGAACGCUGGCGGCGUGCCUAACACAUGCAAGUCGAGCGAAAAGACGAGGAGCUUGUGCCUUUGACGUUAGCGGCGGACGGGUGAGUAACACGUGGAUCACCCACCUAUAAUUCUGGGAUAACCUCGGAAAACCGGAGCUAAUCCCGGAUAAUAUAUUGAACCGCAGGGUGCAAUAGAGAAAGACGGCUUUGCUGUCUCUUAUAGCUGGUUCCCGGCCGGAUGAGCUGGUUGGUAAGGUAACGGCUUUCCAAGGCUACGAUGCGUGGCCGAGCUGUGGGGGGGGUCGGCCACACGGGAACUGGGACACGGUCCAUGCGCCUGCGGGAGGGAGCAGUGGGGAAUGUUCGGCAACGGGGGGAAGCCUUGCCGAACAAGCGCGCGUGGGUUGAAGAGGCCUUCCGUUCGGAAAGCCCGUUUUUUGGGGAAGAACAGAUGUCGAAGGAACUGUGGACGUCUUGACGGUACCGAAUAAAAAAGCACCGGCUAACUACGUG
rnacentral:rRNA from 1 species